GAGCUUUCCCAGAGGGUUCUGAACCUGCUCCUCCUCAGUCCAUCCAGCCAACCAGCAUUUUCCUGGAGUUUAUUGGUGAUCCCAAGUCUCCAGCCUGGAAGGGCUACCUCCUCACGGUGCUGAUGUUCUCUCGGCCUGCCUGCAGACGCUGUUUAAGCAGCAGAACACGUACUGGCUCAAGGUGCUGAAGAUAAGGCUGUAGUAUGCCAUCACUGGCCUGGUGUACAGAAAGGAGAGCAAACGAGGCAGAAGGACUUGUGGGCUCGAUUCACCAGCUCUAUCCUCAGGAACUCGAGGACCAUCAAGUUCCAUGGCUGGGAGGGAGCCUUUCUGGACAGAAUCCUGGGCAUCCGAGGCCAGGAGCUGCGUACCUUGUGGACCUCUGGCCUCCUCUUCUUUAUGUCGCUGGUGUCCUUCCAAGCAUCUACAUUUCUGGUCAUGUCACUCUAGUCUCUAUGCUGAGCAGGACUGGGGAAGGAGUGUGGAACUCAGAAGGUGAGGCAGAUCGGUGACUUCAAAAAGUGUACGAAUGUUGUGAGGCAAGGCGGAAGGAUCACAUGAAGUCAGGAAUUUGGGAUUAAGCUGGCCAAGAAGGUGAAACUCUGUCUGUACCAAACAUACAAAACUUACCUGAGUGCGGUGGUGCAUGCCUGUAGGCCCAGGUUCUCAGGAGGCUGAGGCAUGCGAAUUGCUUGAAUCUGGAAAGUGGAUGUUGCAGUGAGUCGAGAUCGUGCCACUGCACUCCAGCCAGGUACAAAUAGCAGCUU
rnacentral:lncRNA from 13 species